UACGUAGGUGGCAAGCGUUGUCCGGAUUUACUGGGCGUAAAGAGCGCGCAGGCGGUCGUUCAAGUCGCGUGUGAAAGCCCCCGGCUCAACUGGGGAGGGUCACGCGAUACUGAUCGACUCGAAGGCAGGAGAGGGUAGUGGAAUUCCCGGUGUAGUGGUGAAAUGCGUAGAUAUCUGGAGGAACACCGGUGGCGAAGGCGGCGUUCUGGACUGCAACUGACACUGAUGAACGAAAGCCAGGGGAGCAAACGGG
rnacentral:rRNA from 1 species